rnacentral:rRNA from 1 species
GUCGAACGAUGAUGCCCACUUGUGGGUGGAUUAGUGGCGAACGGGUGAGUAACACGUGAGUAACCUGCCCUUGACUCUGGGAUAAGCCUGGGAAACUGGGUCUAAUACCGGAUAUGACCUUCCAUCGCAUGGUGGUUGGUGGAAAGCUUUUGUGGUUUUGGAUGGACUCGCGGCCUAUCAGCUUGUUGGUGGGGUAAUGGCCUACCAAGGCGACGACGGGUAGCCGGCCUGAGAGGGUGACCGGCCACACUGGGACUGAGACACGGCCCAGACUCCUACGGGAGGCAGCAGUGGGGAAUAUUGCACAAUGGGCGCAAGCCUGAUGCAGCGACGCCGCGUGAGGGAUGACGGCCUUCGGGUUGUAAACCUCUUUCAGUAGGGAAGAAGCGUAAGUGACGGUACCUGCAGAAGAAGCGCCGGCUAACUACGUGCCAGCAGCCGCGGUAAUACGUAGGGCGCAAGCGUUAUCCGGAAUUAUUGGGCGUAAAGAGCUCGUAGGCGGUUUGUCGCGUCUGCCGUGAAAGUCCGGGGCUCAACUCCGGAUCUGCGGUGGGUACGGGCAGACUAGAGUGAUGUAGGGGAGACUGGAAUUCCUGGUGUAGCGGUGAAAUGCGCAGAUAUCAGGAGGAACACCGAUGGCGAAGGCAGGUCUCUGGGCAUUAACUGACGCUGAGGAGCG